AUACGGAGGGUGCAAGCGUUAUCCGGAAUCAUUGGGUUUAAAGGGUCCGUAGGCGGGCAAUUAAGUCAGAGGGGAAAUCCCACAGCUCAACUGUGGAACUGCCUUUGAUACUGGUUGUCUUGAGUUAUAGUGAAGUAGAUAGAAUGUGUAGUGUAGCGGUGAAAUGCAUAGAUAUUACACAGAAUACCGAUUGCGAAGGCAGUCUACUAACUGUUGACUGACGCUAAUGGACGAAAGCGUGGGGAGCGAACAGGAUUAGAAACCCCAGUAGUCC
rnacentral:rRNA from 1 species